ensembl:lncRNA
CUUUUGUUGUGGGCAGUCUGAGGUACACCUGUGCACUACUCAUGAUGUCAGAUCAGCAUCCUGAUGUGGCACACCUGUGAGGUGGGAUGGAUUAUCUCAAUAUAGCAGAUGUGCCCACUACCACACAUUUGGACUGAUUUGUGACCACUGUUUGGGAGGGAUGGUUAUAUUGUGUAUCUGGAAUGAAUUUUAGGUCUCUACGUCCAUCCCAUGGGGAAUGGGAGCAGUAACAAAGGUGUUGCGUUUAUAUUUUUGUUGAGUGUAUGUUUGAGUUAGUCUUCAGUUCCUUGUGAUUUUUAUGUUUCUUUCCCUUAGUGUCUCGUCUCCUCCUGUGGUUAGUCAGUCUUGUUUUUACAUUUGUUUUUUUGUUUUUUUCAUCUCAGUGAUUGGUGGUUCUUUUGUGUCUAUUUAGUGUCAAUCACGUCCCCAUGUCUGUUUCUCCCCUGGCCCCAGUGUCAAGCCUGUGUGUCUUAGUCUACCUCUCAGUGUGUUUCGUUUUAUUUUAACAGUGUCUCGUCCUGUGUUCUGCAUGUUCAGUUUUGCCUCCCCUGUCUUAUUAUGUGUGAUUUGUUCCUCCUGUGUUCCCACCUGUCGCCCAUUCUUUCGUUAUCCUGUGUGUAUUUAAAUCCUCAAUCUCCCUCUGCUCAUUGCUCAUUUUUGUAUCACAGCACGAAAGCUGCCUCUUUUUUUUUUAUUUCUCCCGCCUCUGAGUCCUGCGCUCUGAUCCUACCCUUGCCUGCCACAUAGUCUACUAUGACAAUAAGGAAGUAAUGUCACAAAUCCAUGAUGCAGAUUUAAAACACACUUUAACUGAAAUAUACCAAAAGUCCAAACGGUUCUGGUAAAGCGAGGACAUUGCUGUGACUUAUAAAGCGUCUGCUUAAUUUUAUUUUUUUUCUCUAAAUAGGGUCCAAAACAUGCUGUUGUAGCUUAAAUCACUAGAGUUUAUUAGCAAGGCCUGACUUUAUUAUUAUUUUAGUUAAACAUUUCUAUUCCUCUUUUGGCUGAAUUUGGCUUCAGUGUUUGUAAGUCAGUGUCCAGCAGCAGUCUGUAUUCAGUUUGAAUAUUGCUGUAAAUUGAUAUGGAUCAGUUUAUACCUUUUAUACCUUUUUAUAUCAAUUAUGGAUCCCUAACCUGCUCUUAUAAUAAUUAUCAUAAGAUUAUAUUUUUCUUUUUUCCUGUGAAUAUAAUUCUAGUUGAGUGGUGAGGAAGAAGAACAGGAAGAAGGAGAGAGCAGGUAGUAAAGUUAGGUGAAAAAUAUUUUUCACAAACUAAUU